GUGUAUGUGCUGGAUGGUGUGCUUCCUUUAUGCAAGUCUGUGGACAGAGGGCUGAUGCAUCAUGUUGAAAGCACAAACAACCGUCCUGGGGGCUGGGGGGUUGAGGCUGAUUCCGGGAAAUAACGGCCCUGUAUACCAUUGUGGGUAAGAAACCUCUGCGGUCCAGCCGUACUGCUGAAGGCGUGGGAGUGAUGCACAGCAUCCAGCGCCCUGAGAAACAAACAAGAGAACAGGGUGGAAGACAUGGACUGAGAGAGCUGCAUCUAAAGCUGAGCUACACCAGACCCUCCGCCUCUACAAAGACAAUUGGUACUUUUCUAGCCAAGGACCUAGAAAACCUCAAUUUGAGACCACCUCGACUUUGAUGUUUUGUUUACUAAUAAAGCAACCCCUCCAAGGUUUGAAAGUUACUGAUGUCUGUGACUGCCUCAUGGUGAUGGAGAACGAAGGCAGAAUGGAGAUGAUACCUUCAACCCCCUCAGAGUCAAAUCCUCCAGCAACUUCUACAAGCCUCUCUGUAGAAUCACCAGAACAACCAGCUCUUGGUGCUCCAGCUCAGCAACUCCUCCAGCCUGCACCAGACCCUAACCGUGAUCGAGAGAGGUCAGUCCACCUGCAUCUUCUGAAAACUGACCAAGGCCGAUGUUGAAUUCUAUCUGGGCACCUUUGAAUGUGUGGCUAUGUGAGAGAAGUGGCCGAAAUCAGAGUGGACGCACAUCCUGGCCUCCUACCUCACCAGGCCCAUUGAGCCUACCACACCCUGCCCUGGGCCACUGCCUGUGAUUACCAAGCCCUUAAGUUGGAGAUCCUCACCCGGCUGGGGGUGACACCAAGACAGUUGUCCAGCAAUAUCCCUACUGUGUAUACCACCCAGAGGUACCGGUCCAGAUCCAACUAACCCAGCUCAUUCAAUUGACCCAACGAUGGCUACAUCCAGAGCGCCAUACAGCCAAAGAGGUGGUUGAACAUGUGACUAUGGAUCAAUGCCUGAGAGCCCUCCUCAGAGCUGUUUCCACCAACUGCACCAACUGGUCCCAUUGCUCUUUCUUUGAAAUUUUCAGUCAGGUCUGCUUCGGCCAGGACCAGAAGCAGGAUGAGAGGCUGAAGAACUGCUGGGGCCAAGUAGCAGCGAUAAAAGGGAAAACACAAGUAUGAGGACGACUCCCCACCCAAUACUUCCAGAUCCAGAACAGUCUUCUUUACUACACCACCGAGAGACGGGGAGAGCAGCGAGAUCUGGUAGCCCCUCGGGGUCAUUUAGACUCCAUACUUGAGCUAUACCACACACAUUCCCUGGCAGAUCAUUUCAGAGGCAGGAACACAGAGGAGCGGAUCCAGCACCAACCCCACUGGCCUGUGACAACCUCAAUAUCUAAACCUCAACACCACACCAGGUCCUUGCAGCCAGGGGGAGGUGCUACCUUGCCAACCUCAUGGCCUGGGGAUGGGCCACAGGGCAGAGGGACCUUGUCACAGCGACCAUAAAAUUGAUGUAUUGUGCUUUCUUUUGUAGAUGUGGACUGAGAGAGCUGCAACGAACGCUGAGCUACCUGACCCUGCGUCUCUACAAACAAGAUUAGACUUUUCUUUUGCUUUUUAGCACUAGAAUUGGGUUUUCUAGGCAAGGACCUAGAAAACGUCAAGUAGAGAGCACCUCAACUGUUGUGUUUUGUUUACUAAUAGAGCAACCCCUGUGGGUUUUGAACAUCACUGGUGUCUGUGACUCUCUCAUUCCACCACAACAUGUAUUUAAGGUGUACAGACAGAGACUUUACUGACCACUUAUGUUUAGAUUUAGCUAUUGCCAAUGUCACAUUCAUUAGAACUCCAAAUGUCUGGGACGCAUCAGAACGCAUCAGUGUUUACACUACAAAACAUGUGAUCUAAUGCUUCUCAGACCACCUCUGUAUGUGCUGGUGAAGCGUGAGCACCUGAAGCAAGUAACACUGCCGAUCACUGCACUCAGCAGAUUGUGACACUGAUCAUGCCCUUUUACCUUGCAAAUUAAGGAUGGCCCCAAGCAAGUUUCAUUACGCCAGGCCCAAGCAAACUAGUAGUCAAAAACUACUAUUUGUUUUUCACUGUCAACAUACUCUUAAAUAUGCAUGUGCUCAAUUGACAGAAAUGUAGGUAUUAUAUUCACAUUAGAAAAUACACAUUUCAUUACCAAGCAUAUUAAAAGGAGCUGUGUGUGUGUGUGUAUGCAUGAUAUAAGUAGGGUGACCACCGACCAGACUCUAAAAAGGAAGACACAGAGAGCGUGGGCAUUGUACAGGGAUGUCUUUGAGAAAUGCUCCCCUUGUUAAUUUGGGAAAUGGCAGGGCAUUCGUUAAUUGAGGCCAAAGUCCUUAGAGACUUUGGCCUUAAUGGUUGACCAGCAAGAGUUUUGCUGGUCAACCAUCAUAGGGUAGUCAAACAAGCUGGUCAACAAGCAAACCACCUCUAGCUGGUCAGGCUGUUUUUUUCAGCAGGGUUGUGUCUAAAAUUGUGGAGAAAUGGACAAAAAUGAGGACACGCCCAAAAUAUUGCUUAUAGGCCUAUUCCUGUUGCUAUUUUUACACACAAUUUACAACAUUAAACAGUUUAUUAUUUGCAUUAUGUAAUGUUUUCAUUUUUAUCUAGGCCUAGUUUAUACCAAUAUUAAUGAGACAUUUCAUUAUAAUUGAUUGCUAUUUUCUAGCAAGGUGUGUGUGUCUGCAGCCCACUAUAGCCUACCAGUGGUCUUGUUCACCAAUACGUUCGGAAAGCAGAGACAGUGUAGUCUAUGUGCAACCUCAGAGAACAUGUCGGUUUUUUUUUUUACAUUGUUAGUUAUCUGGUACC